rnacentral:rRNA from 1 species
ACUCCUACGGGAGGCAGCAGUGGGGAAUAUUGGACAAUGGGGGGAACCCUGAUCCAGCCAUGCCGCGUGUGUGAAGAAGGCCUUUUGGUUGUAAAGCACUUUAAGCGAGGAGGAGGCUACUCUAGUUAAUACCUAGGGAUAGUGGACGUUACUCGCAGAAUAAGCACCGGCUAACUCUGUGCCAGCAGCCGCGGUAAUACAGAGGGUGCGAGCGUUAAUCGGAUUUACUGGGCGUAAAGCGUGCGUAGGUGGCCAAUUAAGUCAAAUGUGAAAUCCCCGAGCUUAACUUGGGAAUUGCAUUCGAUACUGGUUGGCUAGAGUAUGGGAGAGGAUGGUAGAAUUCCAGGUGUAGCGGUGAAAUGCGUAGAGAUCUGGAGGAAUACCGAUGGCGAAGGCAGCCAUCUGGCCUAAUACUGACACUGAGGUACGAAAGCAUGGGGAGCAAACAGGAUUAGAUACCCUGGUAGGCUCUGC